AAAGUCCUCCACGCGGAAAAGUCUAGCCAACAAUCGCGGCCCCGAGUGAUGCGCGGCUGCUCGUGAGGGUAAUCGUGAAGCGUUCACAGGGGAGGCCAUGGGCUGGGUAUUGAGCUGCGAAAUGGGUCAAACUUCAAGGUGCCGAUCUCGUUCUGCUGAAGAGAAGGCAGCACUGUCUCAUGCGUUACGUGGCGAGCGUGAGGCAGACCUUGCGCAGUCGGAGACCC
rfam:Halomonas sp. PBN3 contig61, whole genome shotgun sequence.